UGGGGAAUAUUGCGCAAUGGGGGGAACCCUGACGCAGCCAUGCCGCGUGAAUGAAGAAGGCCUUAGGGUUGUAAAGUUCUUUCGGUAUUGAGGAAGGUUGAUGUGUUAAUAGCACAUCAAAUUGACGUUAAAUACAGAAGAAGCACCGGCUAACUCCGUGCCAGCAGCCGCGGUAAUACGGAGGGUGCGAGCGUUAAUCGGAAUAACUGGGCGUAAAGGGCACGCAGGCGGUUAUUUAAGUGAGGUGUGAAGGCCCCGGGCUUAACCUGGGAAUUGCAUUUCAGACUGGGUAACUAGAGUACUUUAGGGAGGGGCGGAAUUCCACGUGUAGCGGUGAAAUGCGUAGAGAUGUGGAGGAAUACCGAAGGCGAAGGCAGCCCCUUGGGAAUGUACUGACGCUCAUGUGCGAAAGCGUGGGGAGCAAACAGGAUUAGAUACCCUGGUAGUCCACGCUGUAAACGCUGUCGAUUUGGGGGUUGGGGUUUAACUCUGGCGCCCGUAGCUAACGUGAUAAAUCGACCGCCUGGGGAGUACGGCCGCAAGGUUA
rnacentral:rRNA from 1 species